UACGAAGGGGGCUAGCGUUGCUCGGAAUCACUGGGCGUAAAGCGCACGUAGGCGGUGUCGUAAGUGUCAGGUGAAAUCCCACGGCUCACCCGUGGAACUGCCUGGCAGACUGCGAUACUCGAGUGUGGUAGGGGAGAGCGGAACUCCUGGUGGAGCGGUGAAAUGCGUAGAUAUCAGGAGGAACACCGGUGGCGAAGGCGGCUCUCUGGUCCACAACUGACGCUGAGGUGCGAAAGCUAGGGGAGCAAACGGG
rnacentral:rRNA from 1 species